AGUGAACGCUGGCGGUAGGCCUAACACAUGCAAGUCGAACGGCAGCACAGUAAGAGCUUGCUCUUACGGGUGGCGAGUGGCGGACGGGUGAGGAAUACAUCGGAAUCUACUUUUUCGUGGGGGAUAACGUAGGGAAACUUACGCUAAUACCGCAUACGACCUACGGGUGAAAGCAGGGGAUCUUCGGACCUUGCGCGAUUGAAUGAGCCGAGGUCGGAUUAGCUAGUUGGCGGGGUAAAGGCCCACCAAGGCGACGAUCCGUAGCUGGUCUGAGAGGAUGAUCAGCCACACUGGAACUGAGACACGGUCCGGACUCCUACGGGAGGCAGCAGUGGGGAAUAUUGGACAAUGGGCGCAAGCCUGAUCCAGCCAUACCGCGUGGGUGAAGAAGGCCUUCGGGUUGUAAAGCCCUUUUGUUGGGAAAGAAAAGCAGCAGGUUAAUACCCCGCUGUUCUGACGGUACCCAAAGAAUAAGCACCGGCUAACUUCGUG
rnacentral:rRNA from 1 species